rnacentral:rRNA from 1 species
CGUGCCUAACACAUGCAAGUCGAACGAGAAUCAUUUGAACAGAGGCUUCGGCCGACGGAAUUUUGAGGAAAGUGGCGAACGGGUGAGUAACGCGUGAGAAACCUGCCUUCAUGGGGGACAACAGUUGGAAACGACUGCUAAUACCGCAUGAUGUAGCGAGGGGGCAUCCUCUUGCUACCAAAGCUUUAUGUGCUGAAAGAUGGUCUCGCGUCUGAUUAGCUAGUUGGUGGGGUAACGGCUCACCAAGGUGACGAUCAGUAGCCGGUCUGAGAGGAUGAACGGCCACAUUGGGACUGAGAUACGGCCCAGACUCCUACGGGAGGCAGCAGUGGGGAAUAUUGGGCAAUGGGGGAAACCCUGACCCAGCAACGCCGCGUGAAGGAAGAAGUAUUUCGGUAUGUAAAGCUCUAUCAGCAGGGAAGAAAAUGACGGUACCUGACUAAGAAGCCCCGGCUAACUACGUG